rnacentral:lncRNA from 1 species
UCAUCUUCACACAAUCCCAUGUAAUGAACAAGAAUGGGAUAAAGAGUGUUGGCUUCCAAUCGCCACUUCACACAAUACAUAAAUAAAUUCAUACAUCAUCCAAAAUACACACAUAGACCGACUACGGUCAAUCCAAAUGAAAAGAAGAUAACCCCAAAUGCUAGAUCCCCGGUCGUCCCAACUGGGCUCCACUACUGAUCAUCAGGAAACGAAACAUCGUAACGACCAAGGUCCUCGUCGAACUCCCACUUGAGCUCGGUUGCGUCACCUGCACUGGUAUCAACGGCAUCUGCAACUGUUUUGGAAGUAUUUGUGAGUCACGAGGACUCAGCAAUCUCACACCCGCGAGAUCAAGACUAUUUAAGCUUAUGGGUAGGAGAAGGUAGUGAGGUGGAGCUGCAGCAAGCACUAAGCAUAUAUUGUGGCUAACAAAUGCAAGUAAGAGCGAGAAGAGGAGCAACGGAAACGGUCGUCAACUAGUAAUGAUCAAGAAGUGAUCCUGAACUCCUACUUACGUCAAACAUAACCCAAAAGCCGUGUUCUCUUCCCGGACUCCGCCGAAAAGAGACCAUCACGGCUACACACGCGGUUGAUGCGUUUUAAUUAAGUCGAGUGUCAAGUUCUCUACCACCGGAUAUUAACAAAUUCCCAUCUGCCACAUAACCGCGGGCACAGCUCUCGAAAGUUUAUACCCUGCAGGGGUUUCCCAACUUAGCCCAUUAUAAGCUCUCACGGUCAACGAAGGAUAUUCCUUCUCCCAUGAAGACCCGAUCAGUCUCGGAAUCCCGGUUUACAAGACAUUUCAACAAUGGUAAAACAAGACCAGCAAAGCCGCCCGAUGUGCCGACAAAUCCCGAUAGGAACUGCACAUAUCUCGUUCUCAGGGCACACCUGAUGAGCAAGACGUCGAGUUGGCAUAGACCCUGGUUGCCCAGGGGGCGCCCGACAUCGCCCGGUUUGGACCAGCACUCGAAGGAGCACUGGCCCGGGGGUUUAAAUAAAGAUGACCCUUGAGUCUGCAGAACCCAAGGGAAAAAGGCUUAGGAGGCAAAUGUUAAAACCAAGGUUGGGCCUUGCUGGAGGAGUUUUAUUCAAAGCGAACUGUCAAGGGGGUCCCAUAAAUCACCCAACCGCGUAAGGAACGCAAAAUCACGGAACAUAACACCGGUAUGAUGGAAACUAGGGCGGGAAGAGUGGAACAAAACACCAGGCAUAAGGCCGAGCCUUCCACCCUUUACCAAGUAUAUAGAUGCAUUAAUUAAGUAAGAGAUAUUGUGAUAUCCCAACAUAUCCGUGUUCCAACAUGGAACAAUCUUCAUCUUCACCUGCAACUAGCAACGCUAUGAGAGGGGUUGAGCAAAGCGGUAACAUAGCCAAGCAACGGUUUGCUAGGAAGGCUGAAAAGGUUAGAGGCUGACAUGGCAAUAAGGGAGGCAUGCUAUAACAAGUGGUAGGUAGCGCAACAUAGCGAUAGAGCGAACAACUAGCAAGCAAAGAUAGAAGUGAUGUCGAGGGUAUGGUCAUCUUGCCUGAAAUCCCGCUAGGAAGAAGAACGAGUCCAUGAAGAAGACAAACGGAUGUAGUCGAACGAAUCCUCACAACUCCGGAACGAAACCGAAGCUAACGAGAGAAGCAAACUGGAAAGAAGCAAACAACAUGGUAAACAACCAUCACAUAAACAUGGCAUGAUGCGCAACCAAGUAUGAUGCAUGUCCGGUUUAAUGAGGCAUGGCAUGGCAAAGUGCACAAACAAUACUACAAAUUAAGUGGAGCUCAAUAUGCAAUGAGUUGCAUAUAGACGAAACACCACAUUCGAGUUAUUUAGUUCGCUCUCGUUAAGGUACACAACAAUAUUAAAUGUUUUUAAACAUGGCAAGAGGUGAAGCAUAUGAAAACUACCUAUCUAGGCAUGUUUACAUGAGGCCGCAACAACAAACAACAAUUCCGGAAAAUCCCCAUUUGCAUAUUUUGAAUUUGCUACUGUUCUGCCCUAAACAUAAUUUUAAUGUUGUUAAACAGAAAAAUAAAGUGCACCAUGUUAAACUAGGCAUUUUUCUACCCCAUUUACAUAUAAAGUUUAUUUAAAUCCGAGCAACGGUUAUUUAGUUAUGAAAUAAAUCAUUUUAACAUGGCAUUUAUACAAAUUUAAACAAACAGCAAGUUUAAACAUUUUUAACAUGGAUGAAAGUAGAAUAUUAUGAAACUAGAUGAAAAACUAAGCAUUCUACAUGUAUAAAGUUUUUACAUACGAUGCAUGGUUUGUCAGUCAUUAAAUGCAUGAUCUAGAGGGACUAAACUGUAAAAUAGUUGUCCUGGACAAAUGGAAAAACCGUUGAGCAGAGAAAAAAAACAAUACUGGGCCGGAAGGAGAAGGUCAGUGUAGACCACCGGCGGAUUAGGCCCAAGCGCGUGUGAGUCAGCGUUGACAAAAAGAACCAGAGGAAUAACCUGAGGCGCCUGGCACUCGAUCCCAAGACCUCUUGGACAGAGCAAGGAUUUCUGACCGGACGGGCUACUAAUGAGCUCGUGGAGAAGCCUAGUGGCAAUUGUAAAUGAACUAUACAUGCCAGAACGGAUCUAGGAAAAUAAAGAAGGUUCGUUUAUGACGGAAGUUGCUCACAGCGAGGAAACAACAAGGCCGGUGGCCAUGGCGAGGCAGGGGCGCAGCUCGAGGAUGGGACUUGAGCGGCUGGUGCUGCUGGCAUGGUGGGGAGGUGGAGGAGGCCAGCGAGGAGGCGUGGAGGAAGGUGGCGGCUCAUCUGCUGGGUUCGCCGGCGAGAUGGUGCAGCGGCUGCUGCUGUUGCCUGAAGAAAGAAAAGAGAGAGAGAUAUUCAGAGAAACAGAACAGAAAGGGGAAGAAGAGAGAAGGCGAGGGCGACGGGCGCGCGACCUGCGGGGCUCCGGUGGCGUGGCCGGGCAUGUGCGAGGAGGAGGCACGGGGUUGCGGAUCUGAACGGCGGGGGUCCUACGGGUCCUUGCUCCGGCUUGCAGAAGAACGAGCGGCGCCAUGUCCCUGUGCAGAGAACGACAGAGAGAGACCAUGAGAGAGCAGAGAGAUGGAGAGGGAAAUGAAGAGAGAGGCAGGGCACGCGACCUGGGGCGACUGGAUGCUCACCCACAAGGGGUCUCCGAUGGCGCUACUGCUGCUCCGGGGCGGCAGUCAUGGCGGGGCAUGCUCCUGUUCUCCCUGAAGAAAGAGAGAGAGAGACCGCGGGGUGAGGGAGAGAGAAGAACUAGGGGAAUAAGGAAAAGAGAAGGAGAGGCAGGGUACGGCGCGGGGACGGCCUGUAGGUGGCCGAAGGCUGGCCGGGUUGGCCUGGUGGAUGUUCGUCGGCGGAGGGAGCUCCGGUGGGGUGAUGUGGUCGUGGACGAGGAGGCUGCGGCCUCGGACGCCGGCAGGAAAGAAGCAGAGGGCUCGGGGCUGCAACUGCUAGCUCCUGUAGGCGCGGACGACGACAGCCGCGGGCGGCCGGACGCGUCCAGGACCAAGGGAGGAGGAGGCACGAGGCGCCGGUGCUGCUCGGGGUCGAGCCUUUGCUCUCCCGAGCAAGGAGGCGGCGGGAUCGAGGGGAAGCUUCGGGGCUGGUUCUGGUUGGUG